UUCACCCCGGAAACCAGAAAUCAUGUUAAAACUACUUCCGUAUGCCACCAUGCUGUGGCGAUGUCAAAUCAGCAACGAUACAUUGGCGACGCUCAACAUUUCACAGGCAUAUUUUCCGCUUAGUCUGUGGAUGGAUCUUAUCUAACAAAUGGGAUUCCGCAAGUUAUCCUCCAAUAGACACAUUUUCCAGUAGCGACAUGGGCGAGGGCGACGACGAGUUUUCGCCGGUGCUGGUGUCGGGGAAACACCAAGAACACACAGAACACGCAGAGCAGCGUUGCAAGCGCGGGAAGAAGCAAAAGCACCAUGGACAUAUAAUAUAGAAGAAGACGAAGAAGAAGAAGAAGAAGAAGAGGGUAUCUAAUGAGAAGACACCUGUGGACUAGUCAAACGUUGCGAACCUCAUCAAAAACAAAAUAUAAAUAUUAAAGAGAGGCGUGUUGACGCCCCUUUUGUCCUUCAGUGGCAUUUUGCUUCCCGCCAUAAUGGGUUAUUUUAUAAAGCAUCAAUCCCAAGUCCAGCUACAGUUGGCGCCGUCCCCGGGUCCACCGGUGAUACCGUCGCAGAAUGAGAGCCCUUCGCUUUCCAAUCGCGCACCAACUCUUCUCGAACGCCCUUACACCAGGCCAUCAGCGCCGUGUCGAAACUUUUCCACGCCUCGUCGUCCUCACCAUUGACCACUGCCAUCACAUCCAGCUCAAGCUUGAUCUCCCACCGUAUCUCAGCUGCCUUGACCCAAUACCGCAGGUUAUCCGCCAGCCGGUACGGCUUGGCAACAUCUUCAUGGAACGAUUUAAUCUGGCCAAACUGGCGGUGCGACAGUUUCACGGCCUCGUUGUGGAAUCUGACCAGAUCCCUGCCGUCCUUGAGACGCGCGAGUAGAGGCGUUGGAAGUGGAUUCGUCUCCACGGAGUCCCACGCAGGUAGAGGUCGAUUGCUCGUCUCUAGGCACUGGAGAAAUGAUCCCGCUUGCUCGCGCUCUCUUCCAUCCCAUUCCCCAUUAGCCCAGAUGAAGCUCGACCGCCUCUGCAUCUCUAUCUCCUCCAGCUUCCGUUCUUCAUCAAGCAUUUCCCCCACACCGGCAAUCCACGCGAGAAGGGACGCCCGUUCCCCGUCCCUCAAACCUCCUGCGAAAUCCCUCGUAGCCCACUUCUUCAGAACUUCCAAAACCUGCAGCAACUCUUCCCGUAUCUUCCGCUCGCUCUUAAUAGAAGCCAAGCGCUCCGGAUUCUCAUGCGCCGUGUAAUAUAUCUUCGCAGCACGGAUAGCAAACGUAACCACAUCCAGAAUAUGCAUACCCUCAAUCUCAUGCCAACCCCGUGGAGACCUAGCUGCCGUAGGUGUUUCCGAGAUGGUGGCUUCAUCCUCCGGGUCUGACAGGCCAUCCGGCGAGCGAUCUCUCGGAGUCGGUGACAGCAAUUGUGGAGUCAACUGUUCCUUCGCCGCCGUCAACACAAACCGCGCCUUCGCCAACGCAGUUUGCAGUUCCCUCCUCAACGACUCCAAGUCCGGAGGUGGCGGUAUAUAGUGGUUACGGAUACUAUACGUGCUAACUGUUGGUGGCAGCAUGACAGGUUCGUUUUCAUCCCACCCGUCAUCUCCCAUCUCAUCACAGCCGCCAGCCAUAUCGUCGAUAGGGCUUUCGACAAAGUCCUCACCCAGCUGCGGCUGCUGGGACAACAUCAGCCUGGGGAUAUCCUGGUGCUGUUGCUGUUGCAGCAGCGACUUCUCUCCCUUUUUCCUGUUCGCCUUGGCGAACUGCGCGCCUUUGCCAUCCAGCAAGCCAGUUCUCGCAAAGUAGUAUUGCAAAUGCGCAAUGCUCCCCAGACUCAUGACGCUCUCGCGGUUCUUUGCGGAUUCGGCGAAUUCAACGCCCUGGGGUCGAAUGUAGCCGCGUCUGCGCGAGGAGGAGGACACGCCUGAUUUCGCAUCGCCAGAGAAAUUGGAGACGGAGGAGACGGUGGACAUGGUGGAGAAAGUGCGGUCGGGCGAAGGACAAGAGGAGACGGCCGGGGUGGGCGAGAGGGAGGGGGAGCGGGAGGGGUUUUGAGUAUCUGGAUAGGGUGGUCGAUCACGGUCGCCUUGGGAGGCCAUUUUUGUUUGUCACGUCUAAUAGGACAGAAUUCCUUUACUGGCAGUAAUAAUGUGGGACGUGGGGUCUUUAUUUAAGGGAGGAGUGUAUAAAUAACUAUCAAUAUGUAGGGCUUAGUUGCAAAGUGUUAAGAUUGGUUGAAAGAAACAAAAUAUAUAUGAGGGAGUAAGAAUUGCUCGUGGCCAAGAAAAUAAUGCAAGACAUAAAUUAGAGGAAAAGGGUAGCCAAAUGAAUGCAAUGAGUUUUCUCCUGGCUAUUAUUAACAUUAAGCACCUCAUUCCAUGCUGAUGAUGUUUGUUGUUGGUUG
rnacentral:sRNA from 1 species